rnacentral:rRNA from 1 species
GAGUUUGAUCAUGGCUCAGAUUGAACGCUGGCGGCAUGCCUAACACAUGCAAGUCGAACGGCAGCGCGGGGGCAACCCUGGCGGCGAGUGGCGGACGGGUGAGGAACACAUAGGAAUCUACCUCAACGUGGGGGAUAACGUAGGGAAACUUACGCUAAUACCGCAUACGACCGAGAGGGGAAAGCGGCGGACCGCAAGGCGUCGCGCGGUGAGAUGAGCCUAUGUCCGAUUAGCUAGUUGGCGGGGUAAGAGCCCACCAAGGCGACGAUCGGUAGCUGGUCUGAGAGGAUGAUCAGCCACACUGGGACUGAGACACGGCCCAGACUCCUACGGGAGGCAGCAGUGGGGAAUAUUGGACAAUGGGCGCAAGCCUGAUCCAGCAAUGCCGCGUGGUG